rnacentral:rRNA from 1 species
AGAGUUUGAUCCUGGCUCAGGACGAACGCUGGCGGCGUGCUUAACACAUGCAAGUCGAACGAGAUCCUUCGGGGUCUAGUGGCGAACGGGUGAGUAACACGUGAGCAACCUGCCCUUGGCUCUGGGAUAGCCUCCGGAAACGGGGAUUAAUACCGGACAUGACCUUGGAUCGCAUGAUCCCGGGUGGAAAGUUUUUCGGC